rnacentral:rRNA from 1 species
AAACUUAGAGGAAUUGACGGGGCCCGCACAAGCGGUGGAGCAUGUGGUUUAAUUCGACGCAACGCGAAGAACCUUACCAGGGCUUGACAUCCCCUGACCGCGUAUGAAAGUACGUUUUCACCCUCGGGUGACAGGGAGACAGGUGGUGCAUGGUUGUCGUCAGCUCGUGUCGUGAGAUGUUGGGUUAAGUCCCGCAACGAGCGCAACCCCUAUCUUUAGUUGCCAUCAUUGAGUUGGGCACUCUAAAGAGACUGCCGGUGUCAAACCGGAGGAAGGUGGGGAUGACGUCAAGUCCUCAUGGCCUUUAUGGCCAGGGCUACACACGUACUACAAUGGCCGGUACAAAGGGCAGCGACACAGCGAUGUGAAGCGAAUCCCGAAAAGCCGGUCUCAGUCCGGAUUGGAGUCUGCAACUCGACUCCAUGAAGUUGGAAUCGCUAGUAAUCGCGGAUCAGCACGCCGCGGUGAAUACGUUCCCGGGCCUU